GACGAACGCUGGCGGCAGGCUUAACACAUGCAAGUCGAACGAGAAAGCCCUUUCGGGGGCAAGUACAGUGGCAGACGGGUGCGUAACGCGUGGGAAUCUACCUAAUAGUUCGGAAUAACACAGGGAAACUUGUGCUAAUACCGGAUACGCCCUUCGGGGGAAAGAUUUAUUGCUAUUAGAUGAGCCCGCGUCUGAUUAGCUAGUUGGUGAGGUAAUGGCUCACCAAGGCGACGAUCGGUAGCUGGUCUGAGAGGAUGAUCAGCCACACUGGGACUGAGACACGGCCCAGACUCCUACGGGAGGCAGCAGUGGGGAUUAUUGGACAAUGGGCGAAAGCUUGAUCCAGCCAUGCCGCGUGAGUGAUGAAGGCCUUAGGGUUGUAAAGCUCUUUUAGCGGGGAAGAUAAUGACGGUACCCGCAGAAAAAGCACCGGCUAACUCCGUGCCAGCCGCCGCAGUAA
rnacentral:rRNA from 1 species